rnacentral:rRNA from 1 species
UACGAAGGGGGCUAGCGUUGCUCGGAAUUACUGGGCGUAAAGGGCGCGUAGGCGGUUCUGUUAGUCAGGCGUGAAAUUCCUGGGCUCAACCUGGGGACUGCGCUUGAAACGGCGGGACUUGAGGACGGAAGAGGGUCGUGGAAUUCCCAGUGUAGAGGUGAAAUUCGUAGAUAUUGGGAAGAACACCGGUGGCGAAGGCGGCGACCUGGUCCGUUACUGACGCUGAGGCGCGACAGCGUGGGGAGCAAACAGG